UUCCGUAGGUGAACCUGCGGAAGGAUCAUUACAUUCAGUAGCCUAGCUACUUGAUUACACCCUUGCCUUUAUGCGUACUUAUCGUUUCCUCGGCGGCCUUGCCCGCCGGUUGGACAACAUCUAUACCCUUUUUAAAAUCUUUCAAUCAGCGUCUGAAUUAUACAUAAUAAUUACAACUUUCAACAACGGAUCUCUUGGUUCUGGCAUCGAUGAAGAACGCAGCGAAAUGCGAUAAGUAGUGUGAAUUGCAGAAUUCAGUGAAUCAUCGAAUCUUUGAACGCACAUUGCGCCCCUUGGUAUUCCAUGGGGCAUGCCUGUUCGAGCGUCAUUUGUACCUUCAAGCUUUGCUUGGUGUUGGGCGUGUUGUCUACUUCCUCCGCGAUUAGACUCGCCUUAAAGUAAUUGGCAGCCAGUGUUUUUGGUAGUAAGCGCAGCACAUUUUGCGUCUUGGUCCCUAAACUGUGGCAUCCACAAAGCCUCUUUCUCACUUUUGACCUCGGAUCAGGUAGGGAUACCCGCUGAAC
rnacentral:rRNA from 1 species